rnacentral:rRNA from 1 species
GACGAACGCUGGCGGCGUGCUUAACACAUGCAAGUCGAACGGAAAGGCCCUGCGAUCGUGGGGUUCUCGAGUGGCGAACGGGGGAGUAACACGUGAGUAACCUGCCCUAGACUUUGGGAUAACUUCAGGAAAGUGGGGCUACUAUCGGAUAGGAGCUCCCGUUGGAUGGAGGGCGUUGGAAAGUUUCGGCGGGUGGGGAUGGACUAGCGGCUGAUCAGCUUGUUGGUGGGGUAGUGGCUUACCAAGGCUUUGACGGGUAGCCGGCCUGAGAGGGUGACCGGCCACAUUGGGACUGAGAUACGGCCCAGACUCCUACGGGGGGCAGCAGUGGGGAAUAUUGCACAAUGGGCGGAAGCCUGAUGCAGCAACGCCGCGUGCGUGAUGACGGCCUUCGGGUUGUAAACCGCUUUCGCCUGUGACGAAGCGUGAGUGACGGUAAUGGGUAAAGAAGCACCGGCUAACUACGUG